rnacentral:rRNA from 1 species
CGUGGACGAUCAUGGUUGUUGGUGAGGUAACGGCUCACCAAACCGAUAAUCGAUAGGGGCCGUGAGAGCGGGAGCCCCGAGAUGGGUACUGAGACAACGACCCAGGCCUUACGAGGCGCAGCAGGCGCGGAACCUCCGCAAUACACGAAAGUGUGACGGGGUUACCCAAAGUGUUCAAUUUUGAACUGUGUUAGGUGAGUAAUGUUCCCUACUAGAAAGGAGAGGGCAAGGCUGGUGCCAGCCGCCGCGGUAAAACCAGCUCUUCAAGUGGUCGGGAUAAUUAUUGGGCUUAAAGUGUCCGUAGCCGGUUUAGUAAGUUCCUGGUAAAAUCGGGUAGCUUAACUAUCUGUAUGCUAGGAAUACUGCUAUACU